rnacentral:rRNA from 1 species
AGUGAACGCUGGCGGUAGGCCUAACACAUGCAAGUCGAACGGCAGCACAGUAAGAGCUUGCUCUUACGGGUGGCGAGUGGCGGACGGGUGAGGAAUACAUCGGAAUCUACUUUUUCGUGGGGGAUAACGUAGGGAAACUUACGCUAAUACCGCAUACGACCUACGGGUGAAAGCAGUGGAUCUUCGGACCUUGCGCGAUUGAAUGAGCCGAUGUCGGAUUAGCUAGUUGGCGGGGUAAAGGCCCACCAAGGCGACGAUCCGUAGCUGGUCUGAGAGGAUGAUCAGCCACACUGGAACUGAGACACGGUCCAGACUCCUACGGGAGGCAGCAGUAGGGAAUAUUCGACAAUGGGCGCAAGCCUGACCCAGCCAUACCGCGUGAGUGAAGAAGGCCUUCGGGUUGUAAAGCCCUUUUGUUGGGAAAGAACAGAAGCAGGUUAAUACCCCGCUGUUCUGACGGUACCCAAAGAAUAAGCACCGGCUAACUUCGUG